GGAGGGUGCAAGCGUUAAUCGGAAUUACUGGGCGUAAAGCGCACGUAGGCGGAUGUCUAAGUCGGGUGUGAAAGCCCCGGGCUCAACCUGGGAACUGCAUUCGAUACUGGGUGUCUAGAGUAUGGUAGAGGAUAGUGGAAUUCCCGGUGUAGCGGUGAAAUGCGUAGAUAUCGGGAAGAACACCAGUGGCGAAGGCGGCUAUCUGGACCAAUACUGACGCUAAGGUGCGAAAGCGUGGGGAGCAAACAGGGAUUAGAGACCCUGGUAGCCACGCCGUAAACGAUGAGAACCUAGAUGUUUGGGAGCUUGACUCCCUGAGUAUCGUAGCUUAACGCGUUAAGUUCUCCGCCUGGGGAGUACGGCCGCAAGGUUA
rnacentral:rRNA from 1 species